UACGUAGGGUGCGAGCGUUGUCCGGAAUUAUUGGCGUAAAGAGCUUGUAGGCGGUUUGUCGCGUCUGCCGUGAAAAUUCGAGGCUCAACCUCGAACUUGCGGUGGGUACGGGCAGACUAGAGUGUGGUAGGGGAGACUGGAAUUCCUGGUGUAGCGGUGAAAUGCGCAGAUAUCGGGAAGAACACCCGUGGCUAAGGCGGCUCUCUAGUACGGUACUGACGCUGAGACGCGAAAGCGUGGGGAGCGAACAGG
rnacentral:rRNA from 1 species